UACGUAGGGUGCAAGCGUUAAUCGGAAUUACUGGGCGUAAAGGGCGCGUAGGCGGCCACCGCAAGUCAGUUGUGAAAUCUCUGGGCUUAACCCAGAAAGGUCAACUGAUACUGCGGGGCUAGAGUGCAGAAGGGGCAACUGGAAUUCUCGGUGUAGCGGUGAAAUGCGUAGAUAUCGAGAGGAACACCUGCGGCGAAGGCGGGUUGCUGGGCUGACACUGACGCUGAAGCGCGAAAGCUAGGGGAGCGAACGGG
rnacentral:rRNA from 1 species